AUUGAACGCUGGCGGCAUGCUUUACACAUGCAAGUCGAACGGCAGCGCGGGCUUCGGCCUGGCGGCGAGUGGCGAACGGGUGAGUAAUACAUCGGAACGUGCCCAGUAGUGGGGGAUAGCUCGGCGAAAGCCGGAUUAAUACCGCAUACGACCUGAGGGUGAAAGCGGGGGAUCUUCGGACCUCGCGCUAUUGGAGCGGCCGAUGGCAGAUUAGCUAGUUGGUGGGGUAAAGGCCUACCAAGGCGACGAUCUGUAGCUGGUCUGAGAGGACGACCAGCCACACUGGGACUGAGACACGGCCCAGACUCCUACGGGAGGCAGCAGUGGGGAAUUUUGGACAAUGGGCGAAAGCCUGAUCCAGCAAUGCCGCGUGUGUGAUGAAGGCCUUCGGGUUGUAAAGCACUUUUGGCGGGAACGAAAAGGACUGUGCCAAUACCACGGUUCGAUGACGGUACCCGCAGAAUAAGUACCGGCUAACUACGUG
rnacentral:rRNA from 1 species